rnacentral:rRNA from 1 species
UACGAAGGGGGCUAGCGUUGCUCGGAAUUACUGGGCGUAAAGCGCACGUAGGCGGUCUUUUAAGUCGGUGGUGAAAUCCUGGAGCUCAACUCCAGAACUGCCUUCGAUACUGGAAGACUUGAGUCCGGGAGAGGUGAGUGGAACUGCGAGUGUAGAGGUGAAAUUCGUAGAUAUUCGCAAGAACACCAGUGGCGAAGGCGGCUCACUGGCCCGGUACUGACGCUGAGGUGCGAAAGCGUGGGGAGCAAACGGG